CGUUCCGGCUCGCCCGCAUCGACGUAGCGUCAUCUCCUCUACGCCUUCCCCCGGGCGGGAAUCCUUCGCCCUCGUCUCCGCCUCUUCCCUUAAUCGCGAGCACGUCACGAUCGGAUCAGGCAUCGCCUCGCCAGCGUCUUCGAUUUGAUCCUCGGGUUAAGCAUCCGUCUCAAGCAUGCUCCCAAUUCUGCUUUCUUCAAUCAGCGGUUGAAGAAUGUGCGGAGCGAAACAGGGUUUUAGCUGGAGGGACAAAUGUCGGCAACACAAGUUUACAUUCAGUUACAUGAUGAGGC